rnacentral:tRNA from 2 species
GCUCCCGUAGCUCAGCUGGAUAGAGCAGCGGCUUCCUAAGCUGAAGGUCGGAGGUUCGAAUCCUCCCGGGAGCGCCA